GCAUGGUGUGCACCGAAGGACUUGAGAACUGAGUUUGCUUGAAAUUAAAACAGUGUGGCCUUGAAACUACCUCUGAUUUAACCAGACACUCACUCACUCCCUGUGAGCAUACCAACUUCACCAAUACAACAGCCAUCUGGCUAGAAAUGAGGUGACAGAGGAGAGAAAAAGCAAGCAGGAUACACAUCUUCGGGUACACUAAAAGUUUGCAGCAUCCUAUCAAAUCUUUGGCUUUGGAAAUCAUUGGAUUGUCUUUGUCACACUCAGGUGGCGUCAAACGUAGGGACCAUCUCUACUGUUUCUUUAGAGGAAAGCAGCAGAUUUGGUGCUUUUCUCAACCUGGAUGUUCUUCGUUUUUCUGUCUUGUUCCUGUGGAGGAUGUGUCCUUGUUCCGGUGGAUGUGCACCUUUUAUGUUUAUCUCAAACGCAACAGACACUACAAUCACUUUAAUGAGAGGUGAAGGCUGAAGGAAAGAAAAUAAGAAUGAACAAAGUCUUAUUAUAUAACGUAAUAGGGAUGUUAAUAGUUACAUACAUAGAUGCAUAUUACCGUAGCUCAUCCAUGUAUUUGUGUGUGUUUUAUACAAAACAAAGAAAGGUGAUCAAAAUUUUGGAUGGAGAAAAAUCCAUUGCUAAAGAACUAUUGUGUCAACAUUGCCAAAUGUUUUUUUAUGUUAUUUAUAUGUUUAUUUCUUUUAUGUUUUUUAAAUUAAUGUUAAUGUACUUCAUGCAUACAGAGGCCAAACUAU